rnacentral:rRNA from 1 species
CGGGUGAGUAAUGUCUGGGAAACUGCCUGAUGGAGGGGGAUAGCUACUGGAAACGGUAGCUAAUACCGCAUAACGUCGCAAGACCAAAGAGGGGGACCUUAGGGCCUCUUGCCAUCGGAUGUGCCCAGAUGGGAUUAGCUAGUAGGUGGGGUAACGGCUCACCUAGGCGACGAUCCCUAGCUGGUCUGAGAGGAUGACCAGCCACACUGGAACUGAGACACGGUCCAG